GUAAUGGUUUCGACAGGGGUAUUGCACCUUUAGAAGCUAUCCGUAAGUGACGCGUCAGUUCACAAACCUAAAUAUAAACGCUGAUAAUAAUAAAUUAGCUUUCGCUGCCUAAUCGCAGUGUGUCCGUGAUAUUAGUACCUGUCUUAAUAUCUUAGGGCAUCAUCCAUUGACAGGAAACGACGUUAAGGCUGUCCCGUCUUAACGGGCGUAUCUGGGACUACCGGAUCAAAGAGAUAGUCAGGCAUCUCUUCGACGAGGGAAUCUUUAAGGUCUGACUGUGAUAGGAGAAGGAGAGGGAAUCUGCUUUUGGACACGGGUUCGACUCCCGUCUGGUCCA
rnacentral:tmRNA from 1 species